rnacentral:rRNA from 1 species
UGGGGAAUAUUGGACAAUGGGGGAAACCCUGAUCCAGCAAUGCCGCGUGAGUGAAGAAGGCCUUAGGGUUGUAAAGCUCUUUCGCCCGCGAAGAUAAUGACGGUAGCGGGAGAAGAAGCCCCGGCUAACUCCGUGCCAGCAGCCGCGGUAAUACGGAGGGGGCUAGCGUUGUUCGGAAUUACUGGGCGUAAAGCGUACGUAGGCGGAUGCGCAAGUUGGGGGUGAAAUCCCGGGGCUUAACCUCGGAAUUGCCCUCAAAACUGCACGUCUUGAGACCGAGAGAGGUAAGGGGAAUUCCUAGUGUAGAGGUGAAAUGCGUAGAUAUUAGGAAGAACACCAGUGGCGAAGGCGCCUUACUGGCUCGGUACUGACGCUGAGGUACGAAAGCGUGGGGAG